rnacentral:misc_RNA from 1 species
GAUGAAGAACGUAGCGAAGCGCGAUAUGUAAUGUGAAUUGCAGAAUUCAGUGAAUCAUCGAAUCUUUGAACGCACAUGGCGCCUUCCAGUAUCCUGGGAGGCAUGCCUGUCCGAGCGUCGUUUCAACCCUCGAGCCCCCGUGGCCCGGCGUUGGGGAUCUGCCCAGGCAGUCCCCGAAAACCAGUGGCGGACCCGUUACAGGCCCUUCCCUUGCGUAGUAGCAUUCGCCUCGCAUCGGGAGCCGGCGGGCUUCCAGCCUCUAAACCCCCAUCAAGUCCGCCCCGGCGGCACCAAGGUUGACCUCGGAUCAGGUAGGAAUACCCGCUGAACUUAAGCAUAUCAAUAAGCGGAGGA